UUACCGAAAAUGGAACCAUUUUAACGAGCCAUGGACACUCCCUGCACAGUCCGUGCAGCAAGCUUCUUUCCAAGGUCCUUUCAUCGCAUGUACUAUGUUAUCUGGACAGUUUCCUUGCAACGAAGGAGCUUGAUAGGACAUAUUACGGUGAGACGGUGACGGUCAUUCUUCUCUUCACUGCGGAGGAUUCCAGCUCCUUGAGAGAUUACGCGCUUGCGCUGAUAACGAGAUAGCUGUUCUCUAUUUUGCUUUGUGGCGGAUUCUAGGGUUUUAACCAGUAUUUUCUCAGAGAUCUUUCUCCACAUUUCCAGAUGUCUUUGUUUAUGGGUAAUCUAUCAUCUCAUGUUCGGCGAGAUGAACUCGAACGUGUUUUCCGGAGGUUUGGGCGAUGUAACAUACAGCUAAAAGAUGGAUAUGGAUUUGUGGUUUAUGAUGUUCCUUAUAAUGCAGAGAGAGCUUUGAGAGCAUUACGAGGUAAGAAUAUUUGUGGUGAUUCGAUAUCUCUUACAUGGUCCAACAAACAGCCAAGGUAUUUCCAGAGGCCUUCUAGAGGUGGCAGAUUUCGUGAAUUAUACCGUGGGAGGAAUACAAGAAUAGAUAUUUAUGGCAUGAAAAAAAUAGGUUCUCAUGAUGAGCCAGAAUAUGAAAUGGGAACAAAGCAUGUUGAGAGUGCUGAUGGAGUUCCACCAAUGGUUGAUUCACUUGACAGAGAAGCAUCGUAUGGUAGGGAGGAUAUUGAAGAUAAUGAAGAAAGAUGGCAUAAUUCAAAAGAGGGAUUGAUGGAUGAAGGUGGUUCUAUUGAUCCUAAUCCCGUGGAGAAUGGUAGAUGGGGUGAAUCUGCUAGUGACCCAUUGAAUGCAAAUGAAGUGGAAAACGGACCUGAUUUUGAUCGUUAUGAACCUUAUCAUGGUUACAAUAGAAGAGAUGAUGAUGGAAACCAUCAGAUGACCAGUUCUUAUGGUUCUCCUAAUCGAGGAAAUUCUCAAGAGAAACAUUGGAGAGAGCGCGGGGGUGAGACAAUGUUGAAGAAUACUGACAACCUCAAACCUCAACAGGCCUGCUACAAUUGUGGGCUAAUGGGUCACCUAAUGCGUAACUGUCCCCAGGCAGAUGCUUCCCGGCGAGAGAAGCUUACCCGGUUUGACAGAAGACGAGAUGAUGGAAUCAGUUUCAGGGGUGGAGGUGAAAGGGAUUUGAAAAGACUAAGAUCUACUUCCUGGGGGAGGCCAAAAUCAGGUAAAGAUACCCUAUUGUCAAGGAAGCACGGGAAUGAUAGAAAGGCAUAUGGUCCUGGAAGGUCUCAGAAGUUGAUUAGGAAGAAUGAAAUAUCUACUAUAGCCAAGGAAGAACGCCAUUCUCAGCUCAGAAGGAACCAUCGAGAUAAGAAGAGGGAGCAUGAGAUUCCAAAGAAGCAUCAUGGAAAGAAAGCAAGGAGGUCAACUUUAUCUCCUUCACAUUCAAAAUCUACUGAACACAGUUCAAGAUCACAGUCACGGUCCUCAAAAUCUGCUUCGAGGACUAGUUCCCGAUCCAGAUCAAGAUCAGUGUCUCCCAGGUCACGGUCAAUGUCUUCCAAUUCAAGGCCUACUUCAACAUCAUAUUCAAGGUCUAAAAGUUUGAGAUCCAGAUUCAGGUCCAGAUCUCACUCUCCAUCCUUGUCUUUGUCCGUAUCACUUGGUAGGCCUUUACCAUCUUCUCUAAAUAAGACACAGAUGAAGGCAGCUGGUCCUUCCCCAAAGGGCUGCUUGGAGAAUGCCAUUAGCACCCAACCUAAGAAACUUUUGGUUGAACAGAAAGAACUGAUAGAAGGUGAUGCAAGUUCAGACAACUCUAAACUAAAAAGUGCAAGCAUGAUCGUGAACAAUGAAAAUAAAUUAUUGCCCAUUAAUAUAGAGGAUGAGAUGAAAAGGGAUCAUUUUGGGGGGCUGGAUAUUGAUGGAAACCAUAGUAAGCUUAGGAAUGAUCAUGAAGUAAUAAAUCCACUGGAAAAAAGUGUUUUGCCCAUUGACAAUUCACCUUCAGAGAAUUCCCUAGAGAAGGGGGAGCAUCAGAAAUCAAGGCCAUUGGUGAGGGAACACAUGGAAGAAAACAUUGGGAGGAAGAAUCCUGAGGUUCCUGUUAAUUCCCUGACUAAAAGUUCUACAAGAAUAUCCUCACAAGAGAUGUUUGUGGUUCUGAAGCACUAUGGCCUCCCCCUGCCUGGAGAAAAUGAAAAUAACUUACCUAUAGAGGAUUACUUUGGUUCUGCCCGUCUGUGGCCAUGGGACAUUGUCUACUACCGAAGAUUGAAGAAGGGUCCAAUUUCAACUGAGAAUUAUGCCAGAAGGAUUGCUCAGAAUAAAGAAUUUGGUAUUGUGGAUAAAUACAUCAGAAGCAGUAGUGGAUGGGGAGAAUGCAGUGUGGAUAAUUCUUGAUUAGUUCAUCCACUUUUAUUGGAAACUAUCUUCAGGCCCUUGGAAUUGUGCAUCUUUGGCUCCUCUGUUUUUUUAGUAAAACUGCUUUGUUCAAGUGUACAAGAAAGUUUGGGAUCAGGUCUGUCACUGAUAUCAUACAAGCAGAAACAGGAAUGCACCAUUGUUGUACCUGGUCCUUGGGACUUACGGUGCAUGAUAAGCCACUAGCACCUUACAAAAGAGGGAAGGAGGUUAUACAAAUGUUUGUAACAUGGUACCUAAGUUCUUGUGACAAGAAGAUUGGCAACGAGGAAGGACAGACCUUUUGAUGGCGGAAUCUACAGAAACUUAGAAAGUUCUCUGGAAGACAACUUGGAAUAGCACGAUCUUGUUGAGAAAAUUGCAGAAAGUACCAACUUUUGGCAUUUCUUUGAUUAGAUGAUUUUUUUUCCUUGCCGAACUAGAUGGAUGAUCAGUAAAGCUGCCCUAGAUAUUGUGCUAACAAAUAAUGAAGGGUGUCUCCUUGUGUUAAUGUAUCCCUGCAGGGCAAAGGUUGCCUCAACCUAUUGUAUUCAUGGAGGAAAAUGUCAUGGGGCUCAAAUUCCAUAGCCGGCCUUUAAACAUUCCCACUGUGACUUGAAGGACGAGAUUGAAGUGCACCAUGGUGGAUCUAGGAGUGCCUUUGAAUCUAAUGCCUUUGUUCUUGAGACACCAACUUGUGAUACCAAGCAGCCAUAUUAUUUUGGUCCGUGCAAAUUUUAGGCUUCGACAACAACAGCUAGGAUGUUUUGGGGUAUGUACUAUGGCAUUCAGCAUCGUUGGCAUGGAGAUGCCUGUCAAGUUUCACAUCAUUGAUAUGGAUAUGAAUUAUCAUAUCAUGCAUUAGGGCAGCUAUGGAUUCAUAAACUGCAUUUAGUCCUCUCAACUUACCACUAGUGCGUGAAUGUGUUGAAUAUCACAGCAAAAUGGUUUGGAUACCUGCUACUAAGCACCCAUUUUGAUACCAUUAAAGCCUACAGAGUCAAAACCAUAUUCUACAAGGAGUUCUGUUGUCUAUAGGUGAGGGAGAGGCAUCAACCACAUUGCAGGCCACUCCAUUGUGGCCUUGUCUGCCUCUCCCCCAAUUCCAUAUUGUCUUCGGUUGCCCAUGCCACAUCUGUCAAAUUUCAUCUUUACAAAGACUUGUGGAGUGUGAUAGCAUUGUUCCUUACCUAGGGUGCAUUAGCCACUGCUUGCCAGCAUCUGAUGAUAUCAAUAGUUGCGAAAUGUGCAAAUAUAUUUAUGGUCUUCACCUUAUGAGCAACUCAAUCUGAGAUAUCUCUUUCUUCUUUCA